AACGAACGCUGGCGGCAUGCCUAACGCAUGCAAGUCGAACGAGACCUUCGGGUCUAGUGGCGCACGGGUGCGUAACGCGUGGGAACCUGCCCUUAGGUUCGGAAUAACUCCCCGAAAGGGGUGCUAAUACCGGAUAAUGUCUUCGGACCAAAGAUUUAUCGCCUUUGGAUGGGCCCGCGUUGGAUUAGCUAGUUGGUAGGGUAAAAGCCUACCAAGGCGACGAUCCAUAGCUGGUCUGAGAGGAUGAUCAGCCACACUGGGACUGAGACACGGCCCAGACUCCUACGGGAGGCAGCAGUGGGGAAUAUUGGACAAUGGGCGAAAGCCUGAUCCAGCAACGCCGCGUGAGUGAUGAAGGCCUUAGGGUUGUAAAGCUCUUUUACCCGGGAUGAUAAUGACAGUACCGGGAGAAUAAGCGCCGGCUAACUCCGUG
rnacentral:rRNA from 1 species